rnacentral:rRNA from 1 species
CCUGGUUUGUCCACGCUGUAAACGAUGUCGACUUGGAGGUUGUGCCCUUGAGGCGUGGCUUCCGGAGCUAACGCGUUAAGUCGACCGCCUGGGGAGUACGGCCGCAAGGUUAAAACUCAAAUGAAUUGACGGGGGCCCGCACAAGCGGUGGAGCAUGUGGUUUAAUUCGAUGCAACGCGAAGAACCUUACCUACUCUUGACAUCCACGGAAUUCGCCAGAGAUGGCUUAGUGCCUUCGGGAACCGUGAGACAGGUGCUGCAUGGCUGUCGUCAGCUCGUGUUGUGAAAUGUUGGGUUAAGUCCCGCAACGAGCGCAACCCUUAUCCUUUGUUGCCAGCACGUAAUGGUGGGAACUCAAAGGAGACUGCCGGUGAUAAACCGGAGGAAGGUGGGGAUGACGUCAAGUCAUCAUGGCCCUUACGAGUAGGGCUACACACGUGCUACAAUGGCAUAUACAAAGAGAAGCGAACUCGCGAGAGCAAGCGGACCUCAUAAAGUAUGUCGUAGUCCGGAUUGGAGUCUGCAACUCGACUCCAUGAAGUCGGAAUCGCUAGUAAUCGUAGAUCAGAAUGCUACGGUGAAUACGUUCCCGGGCCUUGUACACACCGCCCGUCACACCAUGGGAGUGGGUUGCAAAAGAAGUAGGUAGCUUAAC